UCUCGAUAGCGUAAAAGUUAACUCAAAUUUGUAUGGAGUUGGCACGUUUGCCUACGUUUGCUACUAGGGGCGCUGUUCCAACUGUACCUAAUUAUACUAAUUUGAGUUAACUUUUACGCUAUUGA
rnacentral:pre_miRNA from 9 species